GGCGGAGCGCGCAGCUAACGAAAACACAGUCGGCUUCUAUAGCGGGUGUCAUGGCUGCACCUGGAGGCACUCAGGCCCGAGACUGGGGGACAAAAGAAAGAAAAGACGACAACACAGACAAGGUCUCAAAAAGACACUGGCGAACGUGCACUAAUGGAAGUCUCUAUGCAACGCAUUGACAAGCGGCCGUUCAACCUCACGAAGAUCCUCGGACCGUGGUCGAACGCUGCCCACCAGAUGCAAGGCCUUCGUCUUCUGGCGGAGUACUUGUGCUCCGCCGGUCUGGUGACGGCUCUCUGAAAGCUCCCAUCAUCACCCCCCUCAUCCUUUCCUAACGCGAAAUAGGGCAGUGUACCGCCUCAGCGGCGCUAAAUCUCUAACCCCAUCAUCAUCCAAUGUAUGUGUGUGUGUCCCGUUGUUGUCUCUGCUUUACUUUCUUGAGCUUUCCCUUUCCGCGUGUUUGCACGAACCCAUCUGACAUAAACAGAGAAGCGGAUCAAGGACGGCAAUCUUCUGGAUCUAGCAUCAACAGGGUGAAGUCCAAAGGACAUAAAUAAUUCGGAAAGAGAUGCACGACGCUAUCCUCAAAGGAUACUUUGGUAAGGUGAAAAGAUGCCUGGAAGCGAACAAAUGUCUGAGGCAGUGGCUGCACCUUGAGACGGAAAAAUCAGAAAUAUGAACAGCAGUAGAGAUGAGGCAAUCUAAAAUACGUGCCCUUUCUAGUGCUUCACAACUGCAGAAUUAACGAAGACGAAAAGAGAAAAAAAAAUACAAGAAAGAGAGUGAUUCAAGCAUGUCAAUGAGCUCCAGAUCUCGAAUGUCGUUACCAACUCGGUUGCAUGGCGCCCAAAUGCGGGUUCAAUUCGCACCUAGUUGUUGAUCAUCGAGCCAAACAUACUGCGACAAGUUUGAAAGAAAAUUAUAAAACUCUACGAGGCAUUGCAGAAAACAGCGAUGAUGGACGCUAUUCUCCGGGUUGCAGCUACAACCUCGUGGUUAAAUGUCAUAUUCGAUUUUCAAAGAGAAGACUAAUGCUGCAUGAUGGGUGCCAGAUCGGAAACCACGUGGGGACUGACUUUUCCGCGAGGAGAAAAUAUCUUCCUCGGGGCAAGGAGGAAGAUUGCGAGGAAUACUGAGAAGGAAUGGUAUGCGUGAGAACGAAGACAACUAAAGUGUAACUAAACCAUGAAGAGGAAGAAACCGUCAGGCACUGAGGGAGAAGGGCAGCAAGGAGGAAAAUCCUUUAAAUCUAGCAUCAAC